rnacentral:lncRNA from 1 species
CCCCCACCCCCUCCUCCAGCUGGAGUUACUUGAAACUUCCUGCUCUCGAUAGGACGGAGUCUGAUUCUUCCUCUGCCGUAGCUGGAUUCCCAGAACAUCCCGGGUAGCUGUGAAGGAUUUCAGACUUUCUGGGGUGGGGAUGGGGUGUUGUGGAGGAAGAAGCAUCCCCUUCUUUCGCCCUGCCCCACUGAGGGGGCUGUGCUCUGUGUGUCCCUGGAUCUUCUGGUUUUGUAUCUGACUUUGUAAAUAUGUUUUAGGAAGAAAGCAGAAGGUAUGGAGCUUGACUGUGGCAGGCCUCAGGGGUCCAGAAGUUUGUCCCCCUCUAAAGUGUCCCCCCCGUACUGCCCUUCGCCCCCACUGAGACUGAGUCUCACAAGGGUAGACAGAGCAGUUGUCCCUGGUGGGGCCGAAGGUCCCCAAGUAGCUUCUGGUUUCCUCAGGAACGAGGUCCCAGGCCAGACUAUUGUCAGUCCUAAGGCCUCAUCCUUGAAUAAGCUGCCUACCCAGUUCCCCCAUGCUCCUGCCUGCUCUCGCUCCCUUGCUAUGGGCAGGAGAGCUAGGGCUGUGCUGGAAAGAGUUCAGCCAAACUACAGCAGCACCCCGCCUUGCCGGGCCCUGGAGCUGCCCUACUAAGACCCUCCAUAGCCCUUGGGUGCUGGGAGGGAUGGCGUAAGUUGGGGCAGUUUGAGGUUGGAGGGAGUAAAUGUGCCUUGAGAGACACUCAGAGGUCCCAGGGAGCUCUGGCAGGAGGCAAAGUUGGUGAGAGAGUCAUGGGACAUCUUGACUUCCCUCCAGUGUUUCAUAGGAGUCCACGUGAUGGGUGGGCACAGGUCCGUCCUUACUCCGGCCCCCUCCCUCCCCUGGUUUGGGUUGGUACCCGUCUGGCUUUUCUUGAGCUUUAUCUGCUUUCGGCUUCUCCUCUAAGUGGGUAGAUGGGGUCUUUUGAUAUCGGCUCCCCAAAGCCUGAGCCCACAGGCCUGGGAGAGAACCAGGGGCCCGUCUUUGAUACCUGGGUCAUCACGAACCCUUCUGCCUGCAGUUGUCCCAAGGAAGGACCUGGGGGUGCAAAAGGAGAUUCAAGACAUCUGUAACAAGUCAGGCAGAGCAACCCGCUUCUUAGCCCGUGUCCCACUUAAACUGAGCUUAGAGUUAAACAUUGUGGUCAAGUGCUUGGGUUCCGUCUGUAGAUUUAAGUGCUGACGUUGUAUUUCCCAGUAAUCUUAGAUGUCUUUUGAAAAACUGAACAAGUGUUAGACCUGUGUGUGCGUUGGUGGGCACUCAAGCAUCCCAUGGGUGACCCCGUUCUCUCCCCUUCCUCCGUGACACAUCCACUCCUGCCCCGCCCACCCCCACUUGCCUCCACCCGGGGCCCCUCACUUUGCUGUGGUCUUUAUCUGCCUGUUACUCAGCCUAAGGAAACAAGUUCACUCUACACACGCAUAAAAGAAAGCAAAUGUUAUUUUUAAGAAAAUGGAAAAUAAAAACUUUAUAAACAUCACCUGCCGAGAAA